GGCCAGGUAGCCAAGUAGCAAGGCGACAGUCUGCAAAACUGUUAUGCGUGGGUGCAACUCCCAUCCUGGCCU
rnacentral:tRNA from 5 species